GGGGAUUUGGCUCAGUGGUAGAGCGCUUGCCUAGCAAGCGCAAGGCCCUGGGUUCGAUCCCUAGCUCCG
rfam:Rattus norvegicus chromosome 1, whole genome shotgun sequence.